GACGAACGCUGGCGGCGUGCUUAACACAUGCAAGUCGAACGGAAAGGCCCUGCUUUUGUGGGGUGCUCGAGUGGCGAACGGGUGAGUAACACGUGAGUAACCUGCCCUUGACUUUGGGAUAACUUCAGGAAACUGGGGCUAAUACCGGAUAGGAGCUCCUGCUGCAUGGUGGGGGUUGGAAAGUUUCGGCGGUUGGGGAUGGACUCGCGGCUUAUCAACUUGUUGGUGGGGUAGUGGCUUACCAAGGCUUUGACGGGUAGCCGGCCUGAGAGGGUGACCGGCCACAUUGGGACUGAGAUACGGCCCAGACUCCUACGGGAGGCAGCAGUGGGGAAUAUUGCACAAUGGGCGGAAGCCUGGUGCAGCAACGCCGCGUGCGGGAUGACGGCCUUCGGGUUGUAAACCGCUUUCGCCUGUGACGAAGCGUGAGUGACGGUAAUGGGUAAAGAAGCACCGGCUAACUACGUG
rnacentral:rRNA from 1 species